rnacentral:rRNA from 1 species
UGUUUCUUGGUUUAAUAUGAGAAAUAAGGUCUGCCCAAUGAUUAUUUGAAUGGCCGCAGUAUAUUGACUGUGCAAAGGUAGCAUAAUCAAUUGUCUUUUAAUUGGGGUCUGGUAUGAAUGAUUUAAUGUAAAAUUGACUGUUUCUUUUUGAUUAUCGAAUUUUUAAGGUAGGUGAAGAUACUUAUAUGAAAAUAAAAGACGAGAAGACCCUAUAAAGUUUUAUGCUUAUAAUAAUAUUAUUAUUUUAUUUGCUAGUAUUUUGUUGGGGCAAUCUUAGAAUAAUGUAAACUUCUAUAAAUAUUUAAAUAUUAAUGAGUAAAUUUUUAAUGAUCCAAUUGUUUGAUUAAUAGAUUUAAUUACUUUAGGGAUAACAGCGUAAUUUAUUUAUAGAGUUCUUAUCGAUGAAUAAGAUUGCGACCUCGAUGUUGGAUUAAGAUACCUUUAUUGAUGCAGGAGUUUUAAGGGGUGGUCU